rnacentral:misc_RNA from 1 species
GAUGAAGAACGUAGCGAAAUGCGAUAAGUAAUGUGAAUUGCAGAAUUCAGUGAAUCAUCGAAUCUUUGAACGCACAUUGCGCCCACCAGUAUUCUGGCGGGCAUGCCUGUUCGAGCGUCAUUUCAACCCUCAGGUCCCCCUUUUCGGAGGGGGAGACACCCUGGUGUUGGGGGACGGCAUCCUGGCCCGCUGUCUCACAGUGUGCCACGCCGCCCCCGAAAUGAAUUGGCGGCCUCGUCGCGUGCCACCCCUGCGUAGUAGCACAACCUCGCAACGGGAGCCCGACGCGGCCACUGCCGUAAAACGCCCAACUUUUACCGAGUUGACCUCGAAUCAGGUAGGAAUACCCGCUGAACUUAAGCAUAUCAAUAAGCGGAGA